AGUGAACGCUGGCGGCAGGCCUUACACAUGCAAGUCGAACGGUAGCACAGUUUGAGCUUGCUACUACUGGUGGCCAGUGGCGUAAGGGUGCGGAAUACACCGGAUCCUACUUUAUCACGGGGGAAAACGUAGGGUAACAUACGCUACUACCUCCUACGAACAGCGGGGGAAAUUAGGGCAUCUCCCGACCUUACGCGCCUGAAGCAGAUGAUGUAGGAUUAGGUAGUUGGCGGGGUAAAGGCCCACCAAGGCGACGAUCCGUAGCUGGUCUGAGAGGAUGAUCAGCCACACUGGAACUGAGACACGGUCCAGACUCCUACGGGAGGCAGCAGUGGGGAAUAUUGGACAAUGGGCGCAAGCCUGAUCCAGCCAUACCGCGUGGGUGAAGAAGGCCUUCGGGUUGUAAAGCCCUUUUGUUGGGAAAGAAAAGCAGCAGGUUAAUACCCCGCUGUUCUGACGGUACCCAAAGAAUAAGCACCGGCUAACUUCGUG
rnacentral:rRNA from 1 species